ACUCAUAUCUGGCAGGGGAGAUACCAUGAUCAUAAAAGUGGUUUUCCCAGGGUAAGGCUUAUCCAUUGCACUUUGGAUAUGUUGAUCCCUGUGAUUUCCCCAAAUGUGGGAAAAUCAACUGCCUAAUUUGUGGUAGGGGGGACUGCAUUUGUGUUUUCCCCUG
rnacentral:snRNA from 1 species